AGUGAACGCUGGCGGUAGGCCUAACACAUGCAAGUCGAACGGCAGCACAGGAGAGCUUGCUCUCUGGGUGGCGAGUGGCGGACGGGUGAGGAAUACAUCGGAAUCUACCUUUUCGUGGGGGAUAACGUAGGGAAACUUACGCUAAUACCGCAUACGACCUACGGGUGAAAGUGGGGGACCGCAAGGCCUCACGCGAUUAGAUGAGCCGAUGUCCGAUUAGCUAGUUGGCGGGGUAAUGGCCCACCAAGGCGACGAUCGGUAGCUGGUCUGAGAGGGUGAUCAGCCACACUGGAACUGGGACACGGUCCAGACUCCUACGGGAGGCAGCAGUGGGGAAUAUUGGACAAUGGGCGCAAGCCUGAUCCAGCCAUACCGCGUGGGUGAAGAAGGCCUUCGGGUUGUAAAGCCCUUUUGUUGGGAAAGAAAUCCUGUCGAUUAAUACUCGGUGGGGAUGACGGUACCCAAAGAAUAAGCACCGGCUAACUUCGUGCCAGCAGCCGCCGUAACAC
rnacentral:rRNA from 1 species